AGAGUUUGAUCAUGGCUCAGAAUCAACGCUGGCGGCGCGCCUAACACAUGCAAGUCGAGCGAGAAUGUGGAGCAAUCCAUGAGUACAGCGGCGUACGGGUGAGUAACACGUGGGUGAUCUACCUCUUAGUGGGGAAUAACCCUGGGAAACCGGGGCUAAUACCGCAUAAGCCUUAGCAGGGAAAGCAGCAAUGCGCUGAGAGAGGAGCCCGCGUCCGAUUAGCUAGUUGGUGAGGUAAUGGCUUACCAAGGCGACGAUCGGUAGCUGGUCUGAGAGGAUGAUCAGCCACACUGGGACUGAAACACGGGCCAGACUCCUACGGGAGGCAGCAGUGGGGAAUCUUGCACAAUGGGGGAAACCCUGAUGCAGCGACGCCGCGUGAGCGAUGAAGCCCUUCGGGGUGUAAAGCUCUUUCGUCGGGGACGAUAAUGACGGUACCUGGAGAAGCAGCUGCGGCUAACUACGUGCCAGCAGCCGCGGUAAUACGUAGGCAGCGAGCGUUGUUCGGAGUUACUGGGCGUAAAGGGUGUGUAGGCGGUUUUCUAAGUUUGGUGUGAAAUCUCCCGGCUCAACCGGGAGGGUGCGCCGAAAACUGGGAGACUAGAGUGCGGGAUGGGAGAGUAGAAUUCCUGGUGUAGCGGUGAAAUGCGUAGAUAUCAGGAGGAAUACCGGUGGUGUAGACGGCUCUCUGGACCGCCACUGACGCUGAGACACGAAAGCGUGGGUAGCAAACAGGAUUAGAUACCCUAGUAGUCC
rnacentral:rRNA from 1 species